rnacentral:rRNA from 1 species
GACGAACGCUGGCGGCGUGCUUAACACAUGCAAGUCGAACGCUGAAGCUUGGUGCUUGCACUGGGUGGAUGAGUGGCGAACGGGUGAGUAAUACGUGAGUAACCUGCCCUUGACUCUGGGAUAAGCCUGGGAAACUGGGUCUAAUACUGGAUAUGACAUGCCACUGCAUGGUGGUGUGUGGAAAGGGUUUUACUGGUUUUGGAUGGGCUCACGGCCUAUCAGCUUGUUGGUGGGGUAAUGGCCUACCAAGGCGACGACGGGUAGCCGGCCUGAGAGGGUGACCGGCCACACGGGGACGGAGACACGGCCCAGACUCCUACGGGAGGCAGCGGUGGGGAAUAUGGCACAAUGGGCGGAAGCCUGAGGCAGCGACGCCGCGUGAGGGAUGACGGCCUUCGGGUUGUAAACCUCUUUCAGCACGGAAGAAGCGAGAGUGACGGUACGUGCAGAAGAAGCGCCGGCUAACUACGU